CCUACGGGUGGCAGCAGUGGGGAAUAUUGCACAAUGGGCGGAACCCUGAUGCAGCGACGCCGCGUGAGUGAAGAAGCGCCUCGGCGCGUAAAGCCCUGUCAGCAGGGAAGAAAAGGACGGUACCUGUAUAAGAAGCCCCGGCUAACUACGUGCCAGCAGCCGCGGUAAUACGUAGGGGUCAAGCGUUAUCCGGAUUUACUGGGUGUGAAGGGGGCGCAGACGGGGAUGCAAGCCAGGAGUGAAAGCCCGGGGCCCAACCCCGGGACUGCUCUUGGAACUGCGUGGCUGGAGUGCAGGAGGGGCAGGCGGAAUUCCUGGUGUAGCGGUGAAAUGCGUAGAUAGCAGGAGGAACACCAGUGGCGAAGGCGGCCUGCUGGACUGCAACUGACGUUGAGGCCCGAAAGCGUGGGGAGCAAACAGGAUUAGAUACCCGGGUAGUC
rnacentral:rRNA from 1 species